rnacentral:rRNA from 1 species
AUGAACGCUAGCUACAGGCUUAACACAUGCAAGUCGAGGGGCAGCAUGAACUUAGCUUGCUAAGUUUGAUGGCGACCGGCGCACGGGUGAGUAACACGUAUCCAACCUGCCGAUGACUCGGGGAUAGCCUUUCGAAAGAAAGAUUAAUACCCGAUGGCAUAGUUCUUCCGCAUGGUAGAACUAUUAAAGAAUUUCGGUCAUCGAUGGGGAUGCGUUCCAUUAGGUUGUUGGCGGGGUAACGGCCCACCAAGCCUUCGAUGGAUAGGGGUUCUGAGAGGAAGGUCCCCCACAUUGGAACUGAGACACGGUCCAAACUCCUACGGGAGGCAGCAGUGAGGAAUAUUGGUCAAUGGACGAGAGUCUGAACCAGCCAAGUAGCGUGAAGGAUGACUGCCCUAUGGGUUGUAAACUUCUUUUAUACGGGAAUAAAGUGAGGCACGUGUGCCUUUUUGUAUGUACCGUAUGAAUAAGGAUCGGCUAACUCCGUGCCAGCAGCCGCGGUAAUACGGAGGAUCCGAGCGUUAUCCGGAUUUAUUGGGUUUAAAGGGAGCGUAGGCGGACGCUUAAGUCAGUUGUGAAAGUUUGCGGCUCAACCGUAAAAUUGCAGUUGAUACUGGGUGUCUUGAGUACAGUAGAGGCAGGCGGAAUUCGUGGUGUAGCGGUGAAAUGCUUAGAUAUCACGAAGAACUCCGAUUGCGAAGGCAGCCUGCUGGACUGUAACUGACGCUGAUGCUCGAAAGUGUGGGUAUCAAACAGGAUUAGAUACCCUGGUAGUCCACACAGUAAACGAUGAAUACUCGCUGUUUGCGAUAUACAGUAAGCGGCCAAGCGAAAGCGUUAAGUAUUCCACCUGGGGAGUACGCCGGCAACGGUGAAACUCAAAGGAAUUGACGGGGGCCCGCACAAGCAGUGGAGUAUGUGGUUUAAUUCGAAGCAACGCGAAGAACCUUACCAGGGCUUGACAUAUAAAGUGAUAUUUAAGAGAUUAAAUAGCUCUUCGGAGACUUUAUACAGGUGGUGCAUGGUUGUCGUCAGCUCGUGUCGUGAGAUGUUGGGUUAAGUCCCGCAACGAGCGCAACCCUUAUCCUUUGUUGCCAGCGGUCCGGCCGGGAACUCAAAGGAGACUGCCAGUGAUAAACUGGAGGAAGGUGGGGAUGACGUCAAAUCAGCACGGCCCUUACGUCCGGGGCUACACACGUGUUACAAUGGGGGGUACAGAAGGCAGCUACACGGCGACGUGAUGCUAAUCCCGAAAGCCUCUCUCAGUUCGGAUUGGAGUCUGCAACCCGACUCCAUGAAGCUGGAUUCGCUAGUAAUCGCGCAUCAGCCACGGCGCGGUGAAUACGUUCCCGGGCCUUGUACACACCGCCCGUCAAGCCAUGAAAGCCGGGGGUACCUGAAGUGCGUAACCGCAAGGAGCGCCCUAGGGUAAAACUGGUGAUUGGGGCU